rnacentral:rRNA from 1 species
CACGGGGGUUGCGAGCGUUGUCCGGAAUUACUAGGCGUAAAGGGCAGGCAGGCGGAUCCAUAAGUUUAUCGUUUAAGGCGUCGGCUUAACCGGCGUAGGGCGGUAGAUACUGUGGAUCUGGAAUGCGGUUGGGGAAGACAGAAUUCCUGGUGUAGCGGUGGAAUGCGCAGAGAUCAGGAGGAAUACCGAAGGCGAAGGCAGUCUUCCAAGCCGUUAUUGACGCUCAACUGCGAAGGUGUGGGUAUCAAACAUGAUUAGAUACCCUGGUAGUCCCU